UUUCUCUCUCCCUCUCUGUACUGUCUCAUUUACAUGAACAGCGCGUCCAGCCCAGGAUGCACGCGCAGCCUUGGCGUGUAGCCACUGGAGCCGUUAUGCCGUGUACACAGGCACAGGGUUGGUGGAUCACGCAGAGAUCAGCGCGUGUGUACUGCGAGACUCCAACACCCCCCGCUGCGAGAUUACGAAGAGACGGCGGUACAGCAAGAGCUGGGGCACGGGAGGCGUCCCGUGCGAACAGUACCAACGAGGAGAGAUGGAGCGAUGGAAUGAGAUCGUGCGCGGGUGCUAGGGGUGGAUUGUCAGGAUCGCAGAACGGUGCGUGACGUCAUUUAUGGACGGCCCCAAAGACAGAAACAUCUCAUUCUGACUUAAUCAGAGGCUCGUCACACCCCCUGUCGGUCGGAGGAAUCUUCUUGGUUCUUUCGGU